rnacentral:rRNA from 1 species
CUAUACCGCAUAAUGCUACGGCCAAAGAGGGAUCUCGACCUCUGCGUCAAGAUAUGCCUAGGUGGAUUAGCUAGUUGGUGAGGUAAUGGCUCACCAAGGCGACGAUCCCUAGCUGGUCUGAGAGGAUGAUCAGCCACACUGGAACUGAGACACGGUCCAGACUCCUACGGGAGGCAGCAGUGGGGAAUAUUGCACAAUGGGCGAAAGCCUGAUGCAGCCAUGCCGCGUGUAUGAAGAAGGCCUUCGGGNUGUAAAGUACUUUCAGUUGUGAGGAAGGGUGUGUAGUUAAUNNNNGCGCAUCUUGACGUUAGCAACAGAAGAA